AAAUAAAUUGAUUUUGUUCUAUCCUUCAACUUGCCUAAAUUUGGUAUAUAAUGUUCUAAUUCGUACCAAAACUCAACAUUAAAUACAAAGAUUCUGAGAGUGCUCUAAUGUUAUUGAAAUAUGUGUCUUCAAUCAUAAUGAUUUAAGAUGAGCUACAAUGUGGAAGAUACAUAUCUCAAAUUAUGACUUUGAAAGUCUCUAUUGAAAAUCUUUUGAAUCUGAUUUU
rnacentral:lncRNA from 1 species